rnacentral:tRNA from 1 species
CGAAAUCGGUAGACGCUACGGACUUAAACUUUUAAAUUGUGAGGUUCAAGUCCCUCUAUCCC